rnacentral:misc_RNA from 1 species
UGGCCCCCCCCAUACGGGGGCAUGUGCACACUCUGUUCACACAACCACUCACACCUGUGCACCCUCCGUAAUUGUGGGCCUGGGG